rnacentral:rRNA from 1 species
UGCAGUCGAACGGUAACGCGGGGCAACCUGGCGACGAGUGGCGAACGGGUGAGUAAUGCAUCGGAACGUGCCCAGUAGUGGGGGAUAGCCCGGCGAAAGCCGGAUUAAUACCGCAUACGACCUGAGGGUGAAAGGGGGGGAUCGCAAGACCUCUCGCUAUUGGAGCGGCCGAUGUCAGAUUAGGUAGUUGGUGGGGUAAAGGCCUACCAAGCCGACGAUCUGUAGCUGGUCUGAGAGGACGACCAGCCACACUGGGACUGAGACACGGCCCAGACUCCUACGGGAGGCAGCAGUGGGGAAUUUUGGACAAUGGGCGCAAGCCUGAUCCAGCCAUGCCGCGUGCGGGAAGAAGGCCUUCGGGUUGUAAACCGCUUUUGUCAGGGAAGAAAUCUUCUGGGCUAAUACCUCGGGAGGAUGACGGUACCUGAAGAAUAAGCACCGGCUAACUACGUGCCAGCGC